rnacentral:rRNA from 1 species
GACGAACGCUGGCGGCGUGCUUAACACAUGCGAGUCGAACGGAAAGGCCCUGCUUUUGUGGGGUGCUCGAGUGGCGAACGGGUGAGUAACACGUGAGUAACCUGCCCUUGACUUUGGGAUAACUUCAGGAAACUGGGGCUAAUACCGGAUAGGAGCUCCUGCUGCAUGGUGGGGGUUGGAAAGUUUCGGCGGUUGGGGAUGGACUCGCGACUUAUCAGCUUGUUGGUGGGGUAGUGGCUUACCAAGGCUUUGACGGGUAGCCGGCCUGAGAGGGUGACCGGCCACAUUGGGACUGAGAUACGGCCCAGACUCCUACGGGAGGCAGCAGUGGGGAAUAUUGCACAAUGGGCGGAAGCCUGAUGCAGCAACGCCGCGUGCGGGAUGACGGCCUUCGGGUUGUAAACCGCUUUCGCCUGUGACGAAGCGUGAGUGACGGUAAUGGGUAAAGAAGCACCGGCUAACUACGUG